CACCCCGCCACUCCUGAGCACCGCACACCGGCUUCCUCCCAGUCCCUCAUCUGAGAACUCAUGAAGCCACUUGGAAUCCCUCUCUGCUUUGCCUGGCUCAUUCCAUGUCAAUUUCAGAUCUUCACUUCAGGUCAGCUCCAAGGAGGCUAUCCUUGCCCAUCUUCCUAAAAUAGAGCUCUCAAAACCUGGCUGUUUUCCUUCAGAGCACUGGCCUCCAAUUGCUCCGGUAGAUUGCAAAUGACCUGCUUUCUUUCUGUUCCCGGGCGGCAUCGGACCCGUCGGAGAGUAAA
rnacentral:lncRNA from 10 species